AUGGAUUUCAGCCACUUCCUGUCUGAACAAGCCCGUCCCCAAUCCGCCCCUGAGCUGGUGGUGCUGGCCCCCUCCCAGGCCCUCUCCUCUGGGGACAGGCCUACUGUGGUGUGCCUGGCUCAGGGCUUCUACCCUGAUGGUGCCACCCUGAGCUGGUCAGAGGAUGGCAAAGAAGUGGCGGCCACUGACUUCCAGACGGGCCCGUCUCAGCGCCAGUCUGAUGGCACCUUCUCCCUCAGCAGCGUCCUGACGGUGCAGCCGCAACGCUGGCACUCUGGCCGUUCCUACAGCUGCCAGCUGCAGCACUCUGCCCUCUCCAGGCCUCUGAGCAAGGCUGUGGACAACGCUCACUGCAGCUAGACAGGCUACAGUGGACAACGCUCACCGCAGCUAAAUGGGGACGGAGGCUUAACCCUUUACAGCCGGAUGAGGAAAGUAGACAAUGCCCCAGUCCUCACUUUUCUUACCUGCAUGCAUUUUUUUCAGGUUUUUCUCUUCUGAAAACAAAUGUUUCUUUCUUAUAUUUUCCUUUGCAUAUUGAUAAUGGGUUUUUUUGUUUUUUACUUUGUUUUGGUAUCACCAUCAGUUACAUUAUACAUUUCCAUUUUCUUCCCUUAAUGUUUUUCAAUAAAUCUUG